GGGUAUGAUAAUACCAAGAUUAUUCGAAACAAGUUGCUCCGUUUUCGCUCUGUUCCAACAUAUCAAGAGAGGUGUGUGCUAUCAGGGUGCUCAUUUCGCGCUGGCGAGCUGGGUGCGGAUGAGCUUGGCGGCAUCAACCAUGGCUUUAAGGGCAGGCAUCACCUCGGCGUACUUGCGCGUCUUGAGACCGCAGUCAGGGUUCACCCAAAGGAUGUUGGUGUCGAGCACGGCAAGCAUCUUGUUGACGCGGUCAGCAAUCUCCUCUGUGGAGGGGAUCCUG